rnacentral:rRNA from 1 species
AGUGAACGCUGGCGGUAGGCCUAACACAUGCAAGUCGAACGGCAGCACAGUAAGAGCUUGCUCUUACGGGUGGCGAGUGGCGGACGGGUGAGGAAUACAUCGGCAUCUACUUUUUCGGGGAGGAUAACGGAGGGAAACUUACGCUAAUACCGCAUACGACCUACGGGUGAAAGCAGGGGAUCUUCGGACCUUGCGCGACUGAAUGAGCCGAUGUCGGAUUAGCUAGUUGGCGGGGUAAAGGCCCACCAAGGCAACGCUCCGUAGCCGGCCUGAGAGGAUGAUCAGCCACACUGGAACUGAGACACGGUCCAGACUCCUACGGGAGGCAGCAGUAGGGAAUAUUGGACAAUGGGCGAAAGCCUGAUCCAGCAAUACCGCGUGAGUGAUGAAGGCCUUCGGGUUGUAAAGCCCUGUUGUUGGGAAAGAACAGCUGCGGAUGAAUCCCCCGCUGUUCUGACGGUACCCAAAGAAUAAGCACCGGCUAACUUCGUG